rnacentral:rRNA from 1 species
UAAGCAUUAUACGGCGAAACUGCGAAUGGCUCAUUAUAUAAGUUAUCGUUUAUUUGAUAGCACUUUACUACUUGGAUAACCGUGGUAAUUCUAGAGCUAAUACAUGCUAAAAAUCCCGACUUCGGAAGGGAUGUGUUUAUUAGAUUAAAAGCCAAUGCCCUCUGGGCUCUCUGGUGAAUCAUGAUAACCGCUCGAAUCGCAGGGCCUCGUGCCGGCGAUGGUUCAUUCAAAUUUCUUCCCUAUCAACUUUCGAUGUUUGGGUAUUGGCCAAACAUGGUUACAACGGGUAACGGAGGGUUAGGGCUCGACCCCGGAGAAGGAGCCUGAGAAACGGCUACUACAUCCAAGGAAGGCAGCAGGCGCGCAAAUUACCCAAUCCCGACACGGGGAGGUAGUGACAAUAAAUACUGAUACAGGGCUCUUUCGGGUCUUGUAAUUGGAAUGAGUACAAUUUAAAUCCCUUAACGAGGAACAAUUGGAGGGCAAGUCUGGUGCCAGCAGCCGCGGUAAUUCCAGCUCCAAUAGCGUAUAUUAAAGUUGUUGUGGUUAAAAAGCUCGUAGUUGACCUUUGGGCCUGGCUGGCCGGUCCGCCUCACCGCGUGUACUGGUCCGGCCGGGCCUUUCCCUCUGUGGAACCCCAUGCCCUUCACUGGGCGUGGCGGGGAAACAGGACUUUUACUUUGAAAAAAUUAGAGUGCUCCAGGCAGGCCUAUGCUCGAAUACAUUAGCAUGGAAUAAUAGAAUAGGACGUGCGGUUCUAUUUUGUUGGUUUCUAGGACCGCCGUAAUGAUUAAUAGGGACAGUCGGGGGCAUCAGUAUUCAAUUGUCAGAGGUGAAAUUCUUGGAUCUAUUGAAGACUAACUACUGCGAAAGCAUUUGCCAAGGAUGUUUUCAUUAAUCAAGAACGAAAGUUAGGGGAUCGAAGACGAUCAGAUACCGUCGUAGUCCUGACCGUAAACUAUGCCGACUAGGGAUCGGACGAUGUUAUUUUUUGACUCGUUCGGCACCUUACGAGAAAUCAAAGUGCUUGGGCUCC